rnacentral:rRNA from 1 species
GAUGAACGCUGGCGGCGUGCCUAAUACAUGCAAGUCGAGCGAACAGACGAGGAGCUUGCUCCUCUUACGUUAGCGUCGGACGGGUGAGUAACACGUGGAUUACCUACCUAUAAGACUGGGAUAACUUCGGGAAACCGGAGCUAAUACCGGAUAAUAUAUUUAACCGCAUGGUUCAAUAGUGAAAGACGGUUUUGCUGUCACUUAUAGAUGGAUCCGCGCCGCAUUAGCUAGUUGGUAAGGUAACGGCUUACCAAGGCAACGAUGCGUAGCAGACCGGAGAGAGGAAUCGGCAACACGGGAACGGAGAAACGGCCAAGACUCCUACGGGAGGAAGAAGGAGGGAAUCUUCGGCAAGGGGCGAAAGCUGGACGGAGAAAGGCCGGGGGAGGGAUGAAGGUUUUCGGAUCGAAAGACUCUGUUAUUAGGGAAGAACAAAUGUGUAAGUAAAGAUGCAAGGAUUGACGGUACCGAAUCAGAAAGCCACGGCUAACUACGUG